UCCUGAGAGUUGAACACUGGAUGACUGACAGCUGUCCUUCAUGACAACAGAAGACACAGAAAUCCUCCUCAUCAAAAACAUGACUUUGAUCUCCGUCCUCAUCUGGACUCUCCUCUGCUGCUGCUUCACAGAGUCCAGAGGCCAGGUCACAGUGACUCAGCCUGGAGCAGUGAGCUCUGCUCUGGGAGGCUCCGUCACCAUCACAUGUAGGACCAGUCCGAACGUUUAUAGUAAUAACUAUUUACACUGGUACCAACAGAGAGAUGGAGAAACUCCUAAACUGCUCAUUUAUGGUACUAACAAUCGAACAUCAGGGAUUCCAGGUCGUUUUACAGGCAGUGGAUCAAACCCUGACUUCACUCUGACCAUCAGUGGAGUCCAGACUGAAGAUGCAGCAGUUUACUACUGUCAGAGUGUUCAUAGCAUCAACAGUCAGAAUGUGUUCACACAGUGA